AGGGAGUAUUGAGUUAUUCGGAAUUCAGCCCCGGCACUUAUAAACGUGUCAAAAGCGAUAUUCCAUAUUUUUUAUUUAAAAUAAUAAUUAUCGACUUUUUUAUAUUCAGUGUUACGCUAAAUAACGGGAUUCGGCACCCUAAAUGUGAGGGUCGCGGGGAACCUGGAGCCUAUCCCAGGGAGCAUGGGGUACAAGGUGGGGUACAAGGCAGGGUACACCCUGGACAGGGUGCCAAUCCAUCGCAAUGCACAAUCACAUACACAUUCACACACCCAUUCAUACAUUACGGACACUUUUGACAUGCCAAUCAGACUACCAUGUAUGUCUUUGGACUGGGGGAGGAAACCGGAGUACCCGGAGGAAACCCCCGCAGUACAGGGAGAACAUGCAAACUCCGUACACACAGGGCAGCGAUGGGAAUCGAACCCCCAACCCUGGCGGUGUGAGGCGUAACCACUAAACGUUGAUAACAGGUGACCUGUCCAUAGCAGGUGCCUUUCCCGUGUUAUUACCAUGACAGUGAAUACAGGAGCAUUGUCUGAAACACUGAAACCUCUGAUUAAAAAAUUAUAAUAAUUAAGAAAGAAAAGAAGAAAGCAAAGACUACUAAGUAGUUCAUAAUAAGUAGUUGAUUUAUUUUCAAAACAUGUUAAGCUUGAAUAUCAAUAACAUGCUUUUAUAUGGCUAUCAUUUAGCUUUUAUCAUAAUAGAAAAUAAUAGAUUAUAAAUUACUUCAUAUAGUUAAGUCUUUGAUCAUGGUUCAUGGUUUGAUCAAACUACUAAGUAUUUGCAAAACAGUCGAACCAAGCACUAUCAUUUCUGUUAGGAAUGAAGACAAAGUUUAAAAUGAAGAACAAAGAAGUGCUUGGGUGGGACAAACAAUAUGGUGAUCAGUGAUUCAUUACUGGGAAAUAGUGAUGAUGGGACCAGCAGUGGUCAGUUAUUGGUCACUGGAAUACAAUGCUGAUCAGUGGUUUGUCAUUGAGACUAAUGGUGUUCAGUGAGUUCAAACCCAAGCACUGCCAAGCUGCCACUGUUGGGCCCUUGAGCAAGGCCCUUAACCCUCAACUGCUCAGAUGUUUAAAUGAGAUAAAUAUAGUCGCUCAGGAUAUGGGUGUCUGCCAAAUGCCAUAAAUGUAAAUUAAUGGUCACUGGAAACAAUGGUCAUCAGUGGUUUGUCAUUGAAACCAGUGGUGGUCAGUGAUUGCUCAUUGAGACCAGUCAUGAUCAGUGAUUGGUCAUAGAGACUAGUGGUGAUCAGUGAUUUGGUUGUUGGGAAACAAUUAUGAACAGUGAUUUGAUAUUGGGAAUACAGGCUUGUACAAGUGCAAGUCAGUCAGGCUUUACACACUGGGGUACAAUUUGCUAAUGUCUGCUUAAAAAGGGACUAGAAUUGUCAAAAGGCUCUAUUUUGAAAUAAAGUCACUAAAGGAUCUAAAGUCACCAACUCUAAUGACAAAGUCAUUAAGUUGGCUAAACAGUGCAGUCCUGUAGUUGAACACAACACCACAGAAUAAAAAUUAUAAAUGAUAAUGUUUUUAUAAAAAAUUAUAAUGUUUAUAUUAAAGUUAAUAGAAUAAAAAUACUUGGUAAGUCUGGUAAAGUUUACUAACAUUAACCACUAGCUAACCUAGCUAUCAUGACUUAACAAACUGUGUGUUCAACUAUAGCUUGUAACAUGGAAUUUCCAACCUCUGACUAUGGAAAACUAAAGAAAACAUCCCCUCAAUUUGGAAUUCUUACUUGGAAAGUGG